AUCACAAAUAUGUGUUGUUUAUGUAUUACUAUAUUCAAAGAUUUUAUUAAUAGUUUUACAUUCAUAAAUUUUUAUCUACAUAUAGCUCCUCUUUUAACCGUCCUAGCUAUGACCGAAAACAUAAAAAAAAAAAAUUUCUGCAUAGGGUUCCAAAAAUUUUUCUUGGUAGUUGCUUCCACAUCGUUUCUUUCUAGCUACGCC
rnacentral:lncRNA from 1 species